rnacentral:pre_miRNA from 1 species
UAGUUAUUGUGAUAUUGGCCUGGUUCACUCAGACCGAAUGAUAACCACAUUUGUGUGUUUGUUUUUGGUUUGAUUGAGCCGUGCCAAUAUCUCACUACUAUUU